rnacentral:rRNA from 1 species
UGCAGUCGAACGGUAGCACAGAGAGCUUGCUCUCGGGUGACGAGUGGCGGACGGGUGAGUAAUGUCUGGGAAACUGCCUGAUGGAGGGGGAUAACUACUGGAAACGGUAGCUAAUACCGCAUAACGUCUUCGGACCAAAGUGGGGGACCUUCGGGCCUCACACCAUCGGAUGUGCCCAGAUGGGAUUAGCUAGUAGGUGGGGUAAUGGCUCACCUAGGCGACGAUCCCUAGCUGGUCUGAGAGGAUGACCAGCCACACUGGAACUGAGACACGGUCCAGACUCCUACGGGAGGCAGCAGUGGGGAAUAUUGCACAAUGGGCGCAAGCCUGAUGCAGCCAUGCCGCGUGUAUGAAGAAGGCCUUCGGGUUGUAAAGUACUUUCAGCGGGGAGGAAGGCGAUAAGGUUAAUAACCUUGUCGAUUGACGUUACCCGCAGAAGAAGCACCGGCUAACUCCGUGCCAGCAGCCGCGGUAAUACGGAGGGUGCAAGCGUUAAUCGGAAUUACUGGGCGUAAAGCGCACGCAGGCGGUCUGUCAAGUCAGAUGUGAAAUCCCCGGGCUUAACCUGGGAACUGCAUUUGAAACUGGCAGGCUAGAGUCUUGUAGAGGGGGGUAGAAUUCCAGGUGUAGCGGUGAAAUGCGUAGAGAUCUGGAGGAAUACCGGUGGCGAAGGCGGCCC